rnacentral:rRNA from 1 species
GCUCCCUGAGAUUAGCGGCGGACGGGUGAGUAACACGUGGGCAACCUGCCUAUAAGACUGGGAUAACUUCGGGAAACCGGAGCUAAUACCGGAUACGUUCUUUUCUCGCAUGAGAGAAGAUGGAAAGACGGUUUCGGUGGCCCUUUUAAAUGGGGCCCCGGGGCCAUUACUUAUUUGGGGGGGAAAGGGUCCCCCAGGGGAACAAACCCAACCCAACCGGGAGGGGGGACCGGCCCACUGGGG